AAAAAAAGGCUGCCCUAAUCUCGCUUUGUCAGACCCUCCUCCAAAGCACGCUGGAGGAGUGUCUGGCUACUCUACAUAGCAUUCGGGGAUGAAAGGAAAACAUGCUCUGGUUUAUUGACAUUUCUUCAAACCAAUCACAAUCGGAAGAGAAAAGCCAUGGGGCCGCUGCAAAAUAGGCUCG